UACGAAGGGGCUAGCGUUGUUCGGAUUACUGGGCGUAAAGCGCACGUAGGCGGAUCGUUAAGUCGGGGGUGAAAUCCUGGAGCUCAACUCCAGAACUGCCUUCGAUACUGGCGAUCUUGAGUCCGGAAGAGGUGAGUGGAACUCCUAGUGUAGAGGUGGAAUUCGUAGAUAUUAGGAAGAACACCAGUGGCGAAGGCGGCUCACUGGUCCGGUACUGACGCUGAGGUGCGAAAGCGUGGGGAGCAAACAGGAUUAGAUACC
rnacentral:rRNA from 1 species